UACGGAGGGUGCAAGCGUUAUCCGGAUUCACUGGGUUUAAAGGGUGCGUAGGCGGGUUGGUAAGUCCGUGGUGAAAUCUCCGAGCUUAACUCGGAAACUGCCGUGGAUACUAUCAAUCUUGAAUAUCGUGGAGGUAAGCGGAAUAUGUCAUGUAGCGGUGAAAUGCUUAGAUAUGACAUAGAACACCAAUUGCGUAGGCAGCUUACUACACGAUCAUUGACGCUGAGGAGCGAAAGCGUGGGGAGCGAACAGG
rnacentral:rRNA from 1 species